CCCCGAGAGGUUCAGACCAAUCUGGCAAUCUCCAUCUUAAUUCCCCUCCUUUUUGUCUUCCUCAAAUGUCUCUUUUCCUCUCCAUCUCUGCUUUACUUUAGGCCAGGUUAGGUUUAGUUUCUUAAGUAGGAUUAAUUUCAGAGUGGAAAUCAUUAAUUUUGAAAGUUUUUUAUUAUUAUUGAAGGGAUUUUUUGAGGAAAAAACCAAAGAAACAUUAAAUAAAAAAAAUGAAAGAGAUAGGGGACAUAAUUCCUCAGCAAUGGGCAUCUCCUUGUGGCACCCAAUGCACCCAUAAAUUUGCUGCUCUUACCCAGAUUCCCUGGAGAGUCUUUUGCAAAAAGGGAUGCGGUGCUGAUGGGGACACUUGGGAUGAAUGUGUGAGUGAAUGUGACCAGAUAUGCUAUAAGGAUCCCGUAUUUAAGGAUCAGCAAUGGAGUGCUUAUAUUGAUCGUUCUCCUGGAGACGCGAGUUACUCUGAGGAAUGUUUCCAUGCUUGUGUUGCUGGUUGUGGUUACAAGUUUGACAUGCCUUCUAAGCAGGUCGAAGAAUGCCACCCAGUAAAUCGGCCAUCUAAACCUCCGCCUACACCAAAACCAUCCAAAAAAGCCGUUACACCCCAACCACCUAUGGAGGACGAUGUGCCUGGGACUUCUGCUUAACCUCUUUUGUUCGACUCAUACUUAAAAGCAAACCCAUUUGGGCAUAUAGAUGUAGGGCUUCAUCUAACUAGGUAGACAUUUGAUUUUAGUUAACAAUUUUAUAGUGCAUUUCUCUAUUUUUUCUGCCCUUCUUCCUGUGUUAUUUGUUUUUCGGGGAUGAAGGGAUCGGCAAACUCUCUCUUGCCUUGCUUAUGCCAGUUACGAGUAUGAGUUAAGUGUCCUUUCGUUGGCUGGAAAUUUCACGACGAGUUUUGGUGGGUGAUUUACUGUAAUUUCCAUGGCAAUUAGCAUUUAUAUACAGAAUUGUUAACUAACUUUGCAACUUGUGAAGACCAGAUCAUGAAAUGUUUUUUCAUGUGAUGCAUUACAAAAAUGGAAUUUUGGAUUUAUAUGCUAUAUUAUUGUAGAGAAUUUUAAUGUUAGUGUUCAACAUUUGGUUCUUACUCCUUAUAGGUUACAAGCAAGAGGACACUCACAAAGUCACAACCAAAUGAACAAUACAACUACUUCACAACUCAACUUCAAUAACUAUUAUUCUGAUAAAAGAUCAUGUGCGAAGAAUAAUUUUGGUGACAAGUGUUUUGUUCUGUCUCCCCUAAUGUAUCCUUCUCUGACUUGGUUGAUACAUGCAUCAUUAUCUUCAUAAAUUGUAGUUGGUGCCCUAGUUGUACCGUUUAAGCCACAGUCUUUUUGGAGUUGGCUGAUCAUAGAUCUCAACCAUACACACUCUCGGAUGGCUUAAUAUAAAGCUAUAAGUUCUGUAUGAUUUGAGGAUGUAGCCGUUAGAGUUUGUUUUGUUGAUUUCCAAGAUAUUACGGUUCCUGCAUAUGUAAAUACAUAUCCAGUUUGUGACUUGGCCAUAUGUGGAUCAAAUAGAUAUCCUGCAUCAGCAUAUAUAGUGAGUAUGACAUCAUUUCCUGACUGGAAAAAUAAUU